rnacentral:rRNA from 1 species
GCGACUGUUUACUAAAAACACAGGACUCUGCUAAAUUUUACAAUGAUGUAUUGAGUCUGACGCCUGCCCAGUGCUGUAAGAUAAAAAAUUGCAAGUAUAGCUUGGUGAUUUAAGUCCCAGUAAACGGCGGCUGUAUCCUGACGGUCCGAAGGUAGCGAAAUUUAUUGGCGGGUAAGUUCCGUCCUGCAUGAAUGGCGUAACGACUGCCCCACUGUCUCCAAUCACAAUCCGGUGAAAUUGAAUACUAGGUGAAAAUGCCUAAUUAGAACAGCGGGACGGAAAGACCCUAUGCACCUUUACUAGAACCUUGUACUACAAAAGAUUAUUGAUGUUUUUUGGCAGAGUUAGUAAGGCUAUUUGUGUUACUAACUCGAUAUGACCAUAUAUAUUAAAGUUUUUUGUUAAAAAAGAAGCAAAUGUUUAUUUUGACACUGCAAGGAUGCUAGUUUCACUGGGGCGGUGACCUCCUAAAAAGUAACGGAGGUGAGCAAAGGUUUAGUUAAGUAUAUUUUGUAUACGCGUAUUACAAUGGAUUAAAUUAAGCUUGAUUUAAAAAUGUACGCAUUUUUAAAGGGUGAGUGGUUUAUGCUUGCCAGUCAUAGUGACCCGAUAAUAUUUAUUGAUAAAGUUAUCGAUUAACGGAUAAAAGGUACGCUAGGGAUAACAGGCUUAUAAUUCCUUAGAGUACCCAUCGACGGAAUUGGUUGGCACCUCGAUGUCGGCUCAUCUCAUCCUGGG